rnacentral:tRNA from 1 species
GGGGUUGUAGCUCAGUGGUAGAGCACUUGCCCGACAUGCAAGUGCAAGGCCCUGGGUUUGAUCCUCAGCACCA